GACGAACGCUGGCGGCGUGCUUAACACAUGCAAGUCGAACGGAAAGGCCCUGCUUUUGUGGGGUGCUCGAGUGGCGAACGGGUGAGUAACACGUGAGUAACCUGCCCUUGACUUUGGGAUAACUUCAGGAAACUUGGGCUAAUACCGGAUAGGAGCUCCUGCUGCAUGGUGGGGGUUGGAAAGUUUCGGCGGUUGGGGAUGGACUCGCGGCUUAUCAGCUUGUUGGUGGGGUAGUGGCUUACCAAGGCUUUGACGGGUAGCCGGCCUGAGAGGGUUACCGGCGACAUUGGGACUGAGAUACGGCCCAGACUCCUACGGGAGGCAGCAGUGGGGAAUAUUGCACAAUGGGCGGAAGCCUGAUGCAGCAACGCCGCGUGCGGGAUGACGGCCUUCGGGUUGUAAACCGCUUUCGCCUGUGACGAAGCGUGAGUGACGGUAAUGGGUAAAGAAGCACCGGCUAACUACGUG
rnacentral:rRNA from 1 species